GAGAUGUUGAACAGGAAGUGCACGAGGGCAAUCUGAAUGGUUAACAAACAACAAGCAUCAGUCAUAGAGUUGAGCAGCUUGACUAUGAGGAUCAGGCAGGAGCAGAGCACGAGCAGAGAGAGAGCCAGCAGAAUCAGACCCACCGCCAUAUCGGACAGAUUCACAUCCACAAAGAGAAGAAGAACUGUAGAGUUCUGGAGGAAGACCCAAACUGUUACCCCGGGAUGAGAAGAAAUUGCUUAGGAUAUUCUGGAACAAGCCUGCCAUGAACUAGAAACUUCUGAAAUACCACGUAACAGUCCACAGUGAAAGGGGAGAAGUUCAUACUCACAACCAGAGGAGACCAUGCUGACAACUAUGGAGGAGGAAGUGGAUGAGCUCUGGACCA